GCCGAGGUGGCAGAACCUGGUAUCGCGCUAGACUUGAGAUCUAGUGCCCUUCGGGGCUUAGGAGUUCAAAUCUCCUCCUCGGCG
rnacentral:tRNA from 1 species